ACGGGAUUACAAUUAUACCCUGAAAGAAAGGUACACAAAUGAAUAAAAGAAAACAAAGUACUCUGUUUUGGUUCAUUUUUGUCACACAGACUUCGUUGUCCCAGAUUUGUUCCAGCUGGAAUAGGUGGAGACCCCUGAGGGUUUUAUCCUAUCACCCAGUAGAGAGAGAUCAGUGAGAUUUUCUCACCAGUGCCAAGGAUUGAAACCAAACCCCAUGUGAAAACCUCAAGUAGAAGGAUGGACCACUGGAGCGUGGUGGCUAUGGUCUCUGUUCCUGCCAUGACCAGGUCGAGGAUGGAUGCCAUUAAGUUGUCAUCAUGGAAGAGGCUGUCUUUCUUGUUUUUCUCCUUGAAAAACACAAGAGGUAAGAAAGGUCUUAAAAACAUCAGUCUUAGUAUUCAGCAAGCUGAGGGAAUACUGCAGAGCCUACAAGACUGCUCAGUAUGGCCUCGUGUUUGUGAACUGGGUGCUAAGAUAGUAUACCUGAUCUUGAAUGCACAGCACUCACCAAAGAUGGGAGCACCACAGAUGGAAAGUUUGGAGUGGGGUUUGGGUUCAAUAUCCAUCUCCACCCAGAAGCAGGAAAAAGCCCAGAGCCAGGUGCUGUUCACAGGCUCAGCCUUGCAGGUUUGGAAAGAGCCCUGUACAGAAGGAGAUUCAGCUAAUCCUACCUUUGAGGGACUACUCCUGCCCAGGGGCAGGUUUGAAUCCCCAACAAUGUCCAAAAUCACCUUGCAGGCCAUUUUUUGCCUGGCCUUUAGAAUUGUGCUAACUUUUCCUCCACAGAACUGAGUAGAAUACUUAGUGCCUAAGGUCAGCCUGGAUCCAGAUGGAAAGAAGAAAAAAACCCAGAGCCCAAGUAUUUUGUGUUGAAUGAAAUCAACUGAUGCGUGAAACUGCCAAAUCUCUACUAAGUAAGAUGCAGGGCAGGGUUAGGACUUGUACUGAUGAUUUAUCAUUCAAGUACUUUAAGCAGAUCAUUUAUCUUAGAGCAACAGUAUCAACGAUUAAUUGAUUUGUUGUCGUAAAAAGAAAGGCAGCGUCAGCUUUCAUGUGAAUUCAUGCAUUUUCUACUAGGAACAAGAAGCUCACAUUAUUAGUGCUGCUAUUUCAGGAGUGCACUGAGACUGUAGCUUUGGUAUCUUAAUUUUGAUAGAAAAAUCCCUCCAGUAAAAUGCACCAACUAUAAGAGACUGACACCUGAUUUCAACACCACUAGAAUAACAGCAUGGAUUUCAACAGAUGUACAUGACAUGGCUGAAAUCAAGACUUAGCAACUGUUUUAGCUAGAAAAUCCAAAGGAGACAUUAGAAACAGUCAAUAGAGCUAAGCAGUCAAAUACCUCUUGUUGCUUGAAUAUCAGUGCAUCGAUGUAGCUUCUCACACUGUUCUCAUUGAUAUCCUCCCUGCUCGCCUUCAUGUAUUGCCUUAAAAUGGCACGAACAUCUUCUAUUUUCUUAAGCAUAAUCUUGUGGGUUUUGAAAAGAAAUCCAAGGAAUGGGUAGAAAUUGAAAUACUAACGGGGAAUUAAAAAAGAGAAACAUUAGGCCUGCAGAAAUAUCACACAGAAUCACAGAAUAUUUGGAGUUGGAAGGGACCCACAAGGAUCAUUGAGUGCAGCUCUUAAGUGAAUGGCCAGUAGAGAGAUCGAACCCAUGACCUCAGUAGGUGCUAAAACAGCUUCUUCCCAAGGCACAACAUAUCAGUUGAAUUUUGUCUUCAGUAGCAAUAUCUCAGCAUCCCAGGGACUUCCUGGGCAGAUUUUCAAUAGGGAGAGCUUUGCAACCAUUUGAGUCUUUAUUUAGUAUGACCAAAUUUUAAGCACUUGUGCUGUUCUGUGGGAACAGAUCGUCUGCUGGUAACAGCCUGGUCAGCCUCCCAACAGAGUUGGGGCUGCAGUGUGCCAGGCCACCAGCCAGAUUAGUCAGUAUGGGACUAGUUAGUUUUUUCCAGCAUCAGUUGUGGAAGAUCAGCCUGGAUAGUUUGAAGAUAAGCCAACUUUUCCUGGCACUCUCUAAGGAAGCAUUUUUAAUGCAAUCCGUGAAGUGUCACUCACCUAAACAUCAACACUGAAUGUGCCUAUAGAAAAUGCAGGAAAGAAAGCCUAGAUGGUUCAAUUAUGUUGAAACCCCCUCAAAAAAUAAUCUCUGGAGCUAAAGUAACCAUAGUUCAGUUCUUAUUUUAGCUCCACAUGGAUGUGCAGGAUCAAAAGGAAAGUAGCAAAGGGGAAUCUGGCAGCACAUUUAUGGUGACCGAGGUGGCACAUGGAGAACUGUCACAUUUUAGGUUUAAUGGCUGGUUCUGAACAUUUGAAAACUGCUGAAGCAAAUCCUAUGGUUUGUGUAGCUCACAGGCGUGAUGUGCAAGUGUAAAAAAUUGUUAAUCUGUGGGACAGGUCACUUACGUUUAAAUAUGGAGAUCCCAGAAGAAUCAUGACUUCAUCUAUGAGUCUUAAGAGAGUGAGAAAUGUUGGGUCCUUAUAGUCAAACCUGUCCCCAAACAGCAUGACAAAGGUGACGUUGAUGGGAGCACAGUUGAAGGACGGCAGGGUAAAAGGUUCCCCUGCAACGGGAGGAGGACGGGAAUGCUGUGAGAUGUCGAGCAGCUGUGACACGUAUGAGGCUGUACAGCUGUACAGUGAUGGUUUCCAGCUCACCUUUGAAGGAUUUGAUCCUCUCAAUGAGGAAGUGAAGCUCCUCAAAAAUUCUCCCUUCUAUCAUCUGCUUCCCCAUGCCGAGGUUGCGCAUGCUGGACACGGUGAACCUCCGAGUUGUUCUCCACAGCUCCCCGAUGGAGAAGAACAGACCUGGAGAGGCCGUGAGACAUGGUGCUGGGCUCAGGCACGGAGGAGCCCCACCACACCAAACAAAACAGGGCUGGAUGAGGCAGGAUCUCCACAAGUGUUUCUGCUGCCCAGUUUCCCAUGGAUUUAAGGACUAAGGGUCUCUCAUUUCUAUGGGCCCCAUCCCUAUAUCCUCUCAGCUGCAUUCUCCCAGUCUCACUGAGCCUGUCGUUUGAGGAAAACAAGCUCCCUCCCAAGCCAGUUACCUCAGCCCUCUCCUGCGUGGCAGAUAAGCAGGGAUGGCUUUCAGACCAGUACAGGUUGGCUGUAGAGCUGGAGGGAGAUGUUGGUUUAAGUCAAUCAUGCAACCUUUCCGACCCCACUGUUUACAGGUCUAAGGCCUCAAGCAACAACCUGGUAUCUCUGAAGCUUCUCCCUUUGUUCUAUUCCAGUCAUAAAGGUGUUUUAUCUAUACAGGAUAGAAUAAUUUAGUCUUCUCAACCCUGGUCAGUGCUAAACUGUUUUACUGAGAUUCCCAGCAAUGCUGUAUUUUCAGCAGUGGCAAAAAUACUGAUAUUUUUGUGGAGGUUUCUGAGCUCAUGCUUCGAUGAUCACUAAAACCUUCAAGCAGGGAUGGGUAUUUCAUCCCGUCAGAGUGCUGUAAAGAAAAAAAUGGGUGAAUAAUCAAAAAACUAUCUCAGAUUGUGUCAGUUGAAAAGCUGGAUUCCAGCCCUUCACGUCUUCAUCUUGGCUGUGAGAUUUUUAUAUGUGUUUGCUUUUUCUAGAGCAAUCUCCGUUUUAAAACAGUGUAGUUUUAAUUUGGAAAGCAAAACUUUUUUCUCUAAAAAUCUCAAAGCGAAUUUCUAAACUUCAAUUUCUAAUUUUUCUCUAAUUUCAUCUGGAUCAUUCCUUUUCUGAGAACAGCUUCACAGACAACAAAUUGGCAUUUUCUGGAGAAAAAAUGUUUCAUGGGGAAAAUUUGUGACCGUUGUUACUUAACAAUGAGAACUUCCAUCUUUGGGUCACCUCUAAGUGCCUCAGACUUGGGCUGAGAAGAUAAGUGUGGAAGGACUUAUGGUGCAAUACUGUCAGUCUCCCACAGGGAUAUUUUACAUGUAAAUUAGCUCUAAAAAAUACUUUUCUCUCCAUCGAUUCCUUUUAUAUAUGUAGCAAUAAAUUCAUCUAUUGAUAUUAUGGCUGGGUAAUUUUAUUUCUAAUUCUAAUCCCAACUUCAGCCUGUGACCAGCAUACAAAGCUUCAUUUUGGGUUUAAAUCUAAAGCCUCAGGUGAAGCAGAGGAUGAACAAGGCAAAAUGUCCUCUGAAAUACUCAGGGAUGUAGAGUUGCCUUGGAAAAAUUAUGGGAUUGUUUGUGGGGGUGAAUUUCCAGCCUCAGUCUAUUGUUUCUGCCCGAACUUACUUCAUGUUCAUGCAUCCAAGAGCCUUUGUGGGAAGGCAAAGUUGUGGGGACUGAUAGUGUCCAAAAUUGAGGCACCUGGCAGUGGGAGAAAGGGAAAAACCCUACAGCUCCAAACAGCCAAACCACUUAGUCCAAAGUCCCCUGAAAACAUGAGGAAGGUUCAUAAACGUGGUGGUGGCAGUGAACUGCUCACAUCAACACCUUAUGGAAAUUAACCCCAGAAUCACCACAGUGCCUUUAAAAAUCCCACUCCUCACCCUUGAACUUUUAGGAUACGGAUCAGCUGCAAGUGCAUUAGCAAAAAUGAUGGAAAGCCAGGAGUCACUGAGCGCAAGUGAGGAAAGCCAAAUGUCUUCUGUCAGCUUGGCUUCAGAAGGGCCCAAGGGGGAUGUUUAAAAGCCAGGCUCCGGGGAUGCACAGCUAGGCUGGCACUAAGCGAUGGUGUCGUCCCUCCCACCCACCCCCAUCAUUGCUCUAGUACCGUUUCCGUUCUGAAUUUGGUCAAAUAUUGGGAUGGAUGGUCUGUCUACAAACUCCUCUGUGUAGUUCACAAGCGCCUCCCGCACAACUUCGUACCCGGUCAGGACCACAACUUUCUGGAACCCAAAGUGGAGGGUGAAGAUGGGGCCGUAUUUUUCCGCAAGCUGAAAAAGAGGCGAGCUGUGAUGGUCAGGAAGGGAGGGAGCGUGCAUGCAGCAAGCACCUGUUGCUUUUUGAAAGGACAUAUUCCAUCCUGGCAUCCUGCUGGGAAUGGCUGCAGAGCCGCUACCUGCAGAAUGGCACCCAUGAGCUGGAGCUCAUCACGGUCAAACACCAGGCAUCUCAUACGGAUGCCUUGCUGGCAUCCAUAUGGAAUUCAGGCCUCUUACCAUGAAAGGACCCCCACCCCAUCAGUUCAUUAUUAAUCUGUUUUUGCUGUUAAGGAGGAAAUAAAUUAAAAACAAUAAAACCCACCUAAAGACUGGACCACAAAUGGCAACAAAAGUUGGCAAACCGGAGAAAGAUGAAAAGAGAGAAGACAAUUCAGUACAAAUAAUGAUGCUGUUGCACAGGAAAAUUCUGGUAGCACUCCUGCACCCCUGCUAGUAGACCAGAGAAGCUGUGUAUCUCCUCGGCACUGCACUGGGGACUGUGGGCGGAUUGCUCCUGCCCAUGUCUAGCCCAUCACUGCCUCUGUAUCUUGCUUCCUGGCAACCUGAAAACAGCACUUGAGGACAGCCAAGAAGAGUUUGGGCUGAGCUGAAGCAAGGUGAUGGGAAGCUACAGUUCAAAUCUGCUGCCUAAACAAACACAAGGUGUAUAUGUGCAGCCUUAGCCUGUGCUGGGCCACCGGCAGCUUUCGCAGGGAAGAGGGGACACCCAUCAGUGCCCAACCAACACACACCAGCCGGUGCCUGCUGCUCAGUGCAAUCACCAUUUUUUGCUCUCUGUGGGGUGAGAUGGAGGGAUAACCCCUCUGGAGUAAUCCCAAAGCAAAGGCAAAUACAGGCAAUACCAAAUACUGAGUAGCAAGGGACAAAAGCGUGCGGAGGUGAUUCUGAACCACCAUUCCAAGGCUGCAGCAGCAUCUGCCCAGCCCUGCUGGGUAAACUGACCCCAACCCUGACACUGCCCAUAACAACACCAGGUGCUGGGGCCUCACCCCAUGGCAGCACUAACCCCCCGAGGUCUGCUCCCACAACACAGCCCGUGUUUGCUGAGCACCAGUGUGACGGGAGCCGUGAACCGGCGCUGUCUGUUUGCUCACUCUCUCCGUGACCCUGGCGCGGGUCGGUCCCCGCGGGUGCCGUCUGCUAAAGCCGGGCUCGGCACCCACAGAUCCGCCCCGGGCUGUGCCAGCCUCGUCUUGCACCGAAGGACACUUUACCACCGUAAGUGGGGUAAGUUGUCAUAAUUACAGGUUAGUAGAAGAGCUUACAGGCUAUUCAUUCCGGUUCCUUAGCGUAACUUUCCCAUCCCUCUCCUGUACUGCCAUCCAGAUUUUAACGCGUAUCCAAUUCAUCAAGGGGGUUUUGCAGUGGAGCGUCUGGAUCUGGCCCUCUCCUCAGCAGUUUUGGGGUCACUGCAUUGUGGAAUUCCUCUUGCCAGAUCUCCAGGGCGUACGGGAGGGAAGCAAUUUCAUUUCACGUUAGUUAUGUCCUAACACUUUAAAAGAUUUCUGGGUGUCCAAGCUGUCAAAUUAAUAUUUCAAAUCCCACAAGCAUUAUAGACUUCAUGUACAUCAUCACAAUUACAUGAAGAAAUCCCAUAUUACCCAGAGGUCUUUUUUUAAUGGUUGAUUGCUCCUAAAUUACAUUGCAUCAACAAAGAAUUGACUAGAAGAAGCCCAGAAAGAUAUUAUAAAGCAAUUUUCACACCUUUACAAUUUAGUUUGAAUUUAAAAAGACAAAAAAGUUCUCACUGAUACAUCCCAGGCAGCUUUAAAAUCUGUGAGGGUCUGGGUUAGGGGGUUUUUGUCCUACCUUCAUUAGUGAUUUAUCUUGCCUUCUAAGAUCCACCAAGUGCAGGUUACCAAUGAUCGGAAGAGGAGUUGGACCAGGAGGUAAUUUGAAAGUUGAAUUUUUAUAGCCAUUUGAAAAAUAGACUAUGGCUAAUAAUACUGUUGCACAGAGCAGACAAAUUAAUAUAGGAUCAGAGAGAAACGAAAUUAAAAAAGACAUUUUUUUUUGUAAUAAUCUGUUUUUUGGGGGUUAUAAGCAAUAAAAAUGCAGUGGCACUGUUCAGUUUCUGCCAGCUGGCUUUCUGUUUGCUCUCUGCGAUUGCUACAAGCACUCGAUUCUUAUUAAGGUUUGUAGAGUACCUAAAUAAAUACUGCAUACUCCACCCUCUUUAAACACCUCAGAGAAUGUGGUCUAAGCAGUUUGCAAAGCCUGUCCAGAAGUAAAGAGAGUUUCAAAUUACAAACCCAUGCAUGUGUGUGCAAGAACAUAUACAUGGGAAAAGGUGCUUGGCAUUCCUCUAUAACCUCCUCCUCCCUGAGACCUCAAGGUCCUUCAUUAGCAGUACUAUGACCCUCCAAGCACUCUGCUGACACAAGGAAAUAUAAAGGUUUUUAUGAAUCCUAUUAGAACCUCCAGAUUCAGAUUGAGAUAGGAUUUGAGAUCUCUGUGUUACUAGAGAGAAAAAAUAGUAUUGUUAUGGGAGACUUUGGCUUUCUUGAUGUCAAGUGGAGAUCAAAGGUUGUUAAUAAUGGUAAAGCCCAUGUAUCCCUGGGGGCUUGUAGCCCAUAAAUUUCUUCAUAAAGUCAGCUCUGAACUGCCCAGAAGGGAUGUGAUUUCAGACUUUGUGUCUGAAGCAGAGGACAUGUAAUAGCUGGCCAUGGAAAAUUAGCUUGGAUCAAGUGAUCAUGAGUGGAUUCAUGAGUGGAAUGGAAAGACAAAAUUAGAUUUGAAGCUUCUGGGAGGACUCUUCAUUUUGUAAGAGCAGCUUCUAAGAGAUAGAGGGAAGAUAUUGGGGAAGUUAAUGAAGCCAGCUGACCUGACAGGCUCCGGAAGGGGAACAAGACAGGAGAAUGGAAUGAUUUUAAGUCAAAGAUGCUAAAUACCUGGAGCUUGUAUGCCUCAUAAAGGUUUAAAUCUUGUAGAAAAUAACUGAAAUCUACCUGUUUGAAUAGUGGUUUUCAGGAGGAAGUUGGAAAUAAACAGCCAAAGGAAUAAGAUUGUUCAGGGAAGAAUGAGCUCUCUUACAUGAUGAGGAAGCACAAGGCUAAAGGGCACAGCACAAACCAGGUGAGGCAUGGGGUUCAAGGUAAAGCCGACAUCAGCAGUGAGAUCCAGGUCUGACUUAUCCACUCCUGGAGGGGGACGAAAAACAAAUUUGCGGAGCAAGCCCCCAAAAAAGAGGAACAGCUCCAUUUUGGCCAGUCCUUCACCAAGGCAAGCCCUUCGUCCUGAAAACAACCAGGAGAGAAGUUAAUCAUCAGCACUGUAACUGUUAGUGUUGAUCUCUGAGACCUAAACUGGAGAUACAGUCUGUAAGAGCAGACUGCUGAGGCAGCUCUCCUGGUUCAAUGACACGGUUCAUUUCUUCCUGAAUCUUUCCUUGGAGGGAGGAAAGGAUUAAGAAGCUGAUAACAAUCUUACCUUGCUACUGAAAUGACUUCCAGUUUGGCGAAGAUGAAGAAAAGGGAAAACUGUGAUUAUUUGGGAAGAGCAGAAGUGGGAAGGUUUGGGAUGAUCUCCUCUUUAUGUGUGCUGAGUGGCAACUUAUGUCACACACAUAAGACAUCAUGACAACCUUUUAACCAGCAGUUUCAGUGGAGCCAUGGAGUAAGUCCAGCACAGCUCACUGUGAGUAUAAGGUUUGAUAUAUCCUGCUCACUGCAGUCCUUCUGUCUCCACACGCUCCCAGUCCCUGACAGAUGGCCAGUCCUAAGAAUAAGUCAUAGCUAAGAGAAGAGAAAGACUCUGAGACUCGGCUUUAAAGUACCUGUUGUUGCUUUACCAGAAAGGCAUCAACAAAGCCUGUUAAGUCAUUUUCAUUAAGCUCCUCUUUGUGUUGCUGGAAGAGCUUCUGGAGGAAAGCGUUCAAUUCGCUGAUAUUUUGUAGCACAGUCUUGGAAGCUCCAGAGAGAAAUCCAAGGUAUGGGUAGAAAUUAUAUAACUGUGGAGCAAGAGAAUUCUUACUGUUAAUUGACUUUUUGAACACAUACUGGUAUCUCAAAUCACACUGCUUGCCCUUUGUCCCAUGCCCUGACAUUUCAGGCUGUAAUUCCCCCACAUUCACAUGUACUGUCUGAGCAGCAAUGGAUUCCUGCAGAAACAGAGUGUUCUGUUCUGUUAUGCCUCUGCAUGAGUCCUUGCCAUGACUUUUGGGAGAUUCACCAGUUUAAAUCUUCUUUCAGGGCUUCCAGCUGUGUAGAUGGUGGGACAGAGGGUUUCAGAUGUGAAAGAUUAUGAUGAGAGCAUUGUACUUACUCCAGGGAAGGUCCCCAGGUGUGCCACACCCCUGUGGUAGCAGAAGGGACUUGAACUGGCCACCUUCACAGACAGACAACAUUGCUCUGACCUGUGCUUGAGUGGUGCUUUUUGGGCUUAGCUAGUCUGGGGUUACAGGCAGACACAGACCUCAGUGUGGCUCACUCCACUGGUGGUCAAAGCAGAAGCUUUGUGUCAGGAAGGAACAGGUUUAUAUCAGGCUGUUAGCUUGCUAAGGUUGAACUUCAGUGGCCAAAAUAAAAGAAAAAGAAGUUUGUCAAACUUGGUAGUAGGGGAAGCAGAACUAAGAGAGUUACUGAAUGUGGAAUACAAGGAGGCAGGUUUGAAAUUGUGCUUCUGCUCUUCAAAGAGGGUAAAGUUGUUCCUUUUGUGAAGACUUUGGUGUUUUUUUCUUCUACUAAUAAGCUUCACUGACUAAGCACAGGGGCCUGGGAAUCUAUGUGUUUCAGAUACAGAACCACAGAUGUGUUCUGUACAGGCUGGCUGGCUGAUAAUGUUCUUGUUUUCAAGAAGCAAGUUGCAGGAGGCCAGGAGAACAAAUAUGGACAACUUGAUAUCCCCAAAAAAUCUGAAAGGUAAAACAUAAAAUAGAGCUCUUACCAGCACCAUAGGGGAGCCCAACAGCUUAGCAUUUUGAUUUAUCAGCUCCAGCAAUGUUAGAAACACAGGAUCAUCAUAUUCAAACCUCUCUCCAAACAAUAUCGAGCAGAUGACAUUGGAUACAGCACUGUUGAGUAUCGUUUUCGUAUCAAAUGGUUUCCCUGUGUUUCAAGCAAUUGAAAGAAAGGACACUGUGCUUUUUUUGGUCUGAUUUCCUAUAGAAAUAUAGUCCUGAGCUCCCAAAGAAAACUCAUUCCCCACCCAGAAUGCAUAGCAAGGAACUCAGUUUCAGUGUUUUAAGGCCUCGGUUCAAUAACCUACUGCAGCAUAUGCUGAACUUUAACCACGAGAUACCAUUUGCUCAGAGUUAAACUUUCAUUAAUUUUUAUUGUUCUGCUAGACCUGUUUUCUGUCUCUGGAAGAAAGACUUGACACUCACCAUGAUAGGAUUCAAAAUAUUUGAUAAGGGAAUUUACUUCCUCCAGGAUUCGGAUCUCCAGGGUUCUCUUUCCCAUUCCGAAAUCCCGCAGUGUGGACAAGAUCACAAAAAUGGAUCUGUAUGAUGGUGAUACCCUCUGCUGUAAGAAGGUACUGAAAAAACUACAAAACCUACCCAAUCAAAAGGUCAAUUACCAUUUCCUUGUGUCAUUUUCCUAAAUAUGGGUAUUUCUGCCCUCUCUCCAAAUUCUUCAGCAUGAUUUAAAAGGGCGUCCUUGAUGGUUUCAUAUCCAGCCAGUACCACGGCUUUCCUGGGUCCAAAAUGCACGGUGAAGACGUUGCCAUAUGUCUUGGAUAGCUGACAGGGUGAAUAAAUAUGUUCAUUCAAAACCAGAUCUGGACUCAAACAGUAGUACCAGCCACCCUAGGUGGAUUUUAGACCAAAAGGAGCCUCCUAGCCCUGCCUGAAGUCUCCAGGUGCUGCUGUAAUUCAAGUAAUGAGCAACAGCUAUCGAUUGCCAGCAUCUCAGCUUUCACCCUGUUUGCACAACAAGGUGUCUGCUAUCACUGCUCCUAUCAGAGGAGUCAAUAAAAUGCCAUUGCAUUCCUGUGGUGUUCUGUAGUAACAGGCCAGUGCAGUGAUACCACACUGGGAGGCUGUUUGGAGAAUGCUGUGGCAGGCAGGCCUGUUUAUUGUAAUGCUGUUGACCUGAGGCAAGUGGGCGUGCACACACCUUUGAGGCUGAAGCCACAAACACUGCAAAAACAAAGCUAGACAAUAACUCUUUCUUUCAGGACAGCACUUGUCUCCAAUUAUGGCAAGGUGCAUAGCGUUGCAGUCAUUGCAAAAUUAUUUGCUGGCCACCAGAAACUAGGAAGCCUGUUCUUGUAGAUAAUGUCACAGGAGCACUAGGCUUUUACAGCAAAUUAAAUAUGGAUCAUCUGCUACACAGAAAGGUAGCUUUGACAAGCUAAUCAUUCACUUGGUAUUUUAGACUUCAUUUAAACACACUUCAAGCCACCAGCUCCAAAUGUCUUCUUGUUUCUGAUGUGCCUGGGUUACCAUUUGCUAUGCAUUAGAUACAUUCCACAAAUUGAAUUUCAGAUUAGAAGCAGCUCCUGUUAUUACACCAGACAAAUUGAAUUUGUUUUCAUCAAAUGGUGGUUUGACGGCUUGGGAGAUAACAUUAGCACUGGUUCUUUCAUCCCUGGCAGCUCACAGAGUGAGCAGAGCCAGGGGCAGGGAAUCACAGCUGCCUCCGAGCCUUCCUUUGGUCAUUUCUUUGCAUUAGUGCUUCUUGGCAUCCACUCCGUUUUUACUCAGAAACACAAGUAUUGAAUGUGGAAGGCCUGAAAGCCUAAAUAAAGCUGCUUAGUAGAUUACAGGAAACAAGUAUGGUGCCAUCACAUGACAUUUGUAUUAUAAAAUCCCCCAGUACUGCCAAAAAUAGUUGCUCUUUCAUACUGACAUCCUCAAACAUGCCCAGGAUCAGAAGGGAGCUCAGGACCAGAAGCCCAUGACAACUGGUCUCUGCACUGUAAAUCAGGGCAGAUGAGCACUGCAUGCCUGCUACAGGAAUUCCAUUCUUUUGCAGCCCAGAGUGUCCUUUUUUCUACAAUGAACUGGAGGAUUUCAGUGUCUGCACUGCCCUCUCACUGCAGAUGUUCAAGUGGCUGAAGGAGUGCACUGUGGACUGUCUUUCCUCCAUCACAGUGUCCAGUAAGCACACACAGGGCAUGUGACAGGUCACUCACAGCACCUCAGCUGUCUCUACAGCAACCAGAUGAUAUCUGAAUUCACACUGACUUGUCCCCACCUCCCUAUGGGAACACAGCAGACACUUUCGGAAACAAACAUUGCCCCUGGCUUUAAAAUAUUUAAGGGGUUUUUUUCUUUCUUUUAAAAAUAAAAGUAUCCAUGGAACUGUGUAAGAAAAAACAAACUUUUUAGCUAGACAUAUAAAAGCCACGUAUCAAGUCCUUAAUAACCCUGGGCAGUGUGUGUGUGCAGGGGAAUGGCUGGGAAGGCAGAGUUGUGCUUUGGAUUGCAGGGAUAUAAUUAGCUUUGGAAAUGUGUGCAUAGGACCCCCUUCCCUCUGCUGUGGGGAUGAUACCCUUUCUUCCUUCCUUCCAUCCAUCCAUCCAUCCAUCCUUCCUAGAGGUCUGGCUGCAGUGAGACAUCUCUUGAUGGUAAAUAGUACUGAUAUGUCGGCAGACUGGCCCAAAUUGAGUCUUCUGCCUGCAGCCUCUGAAGGGCUUGAAACACCAACAAUAUGGAGCUGAUUGCAAGGGAUGGGGAUCUACACUGAAGUGCAUAAAAAGAAAGGAGUGUGUGUAUUAUAUUUAUACAUAUAAAUACAUGUUUGUGUGUGUACACCUCCGAAGGUAAAGUCAUUCUGCCAGUCGGCCUAUAUGCCAAAUAUCUCAUUUCUGCCCUCUUUGCAAAGCAAACACAAUUGCGUCUCCGUUUCUCUAGUUGCAUUUCUCACUUUGGGAAUUGCACAUUUUCCCCCUCUCUGCUCAUCCAGCCCCUACCUCUGUCAGCGACUGGAACGGCUUUUUCAGGUCCACCACGUUCAAGUUUCCGAUCAGGGGAAGAGGCCGUGGCCCAGGAGGCAAACUGCAAACUGACUUCUUCGAGCUGGUGAGAAAGUAAAGGAGAGCAAACAGCCCUGCUGCCAAACAGAGCAGCGAGCUGGAGCCCACGUACUGCAGGAAACUCUGCAUGGCCAUGUCCAAAUCCAAGUGUGGGCAUGAGCGUCUUGGGGUCCCUUUAUAGCCCUUCUGUCAUUUCCUGAACACACCUUCUGGGGAAGCGGCUUUGUGCAGAGAAAAGGACUCUGUGGUCUUGUUAACAUCCAUUUAGACCAGAUGUACUUCAUUAUGCUGACAAAUAAACCACCCUGUUUUGUUCUGAA